rnacentral:rRNA from 1 species
UGCCAGCCGCCGCGGUAAUACAGAGGGUGCAAACGUUGCUCGGAAUUACUGGGCGUAAAGCGCGUGUAGGCGGAUUCGCAAGUCGGGUGUGAAAUCCCUGGGCUCAACCUAGGAACUGCAUCCGAAACUGCGAGUCUUGAGGAUUGGAGAGGGAAGCGGAAUUCCUGGUGUAGAGGUGAAAUUCGUAGAUAUCAGGAGGAACACCGGUGGCGAAGGCGGCUUCCUGGACAAUUACUGACGCUGAGACGCGAAAGCGUGGGGAGCAACCAGGAUUAGAUA